CCUACGGGUGGCAGCAGUGAGGAAUAUUGGUCAAUGGCCGAGAGUCUGAACCAGCCAAGUCGCGUGAGGGAUGACUGCCCUACGGGUUGUAAACUUCUUUUAUAGGGGAGUAAAGUGAGUCACGUGUGGCUCAUUGUGUGUACCAUAUGAAUAAGCAUCGGCUAACUCCGUGCCAGCAGCCGCGGUAAUACGGAGGAUCCGAGCGUUAUCCGGAUUUAUUGGGUUUAAAGGGUGCGUAGGUGGUGGUGAAAGUCAGUGGUAAAGUUUUGGGGCUCAACCCAGAACUGCCAUUGAGACUGGAUGCCGUGAGUGCGGGAGAGGUAUGCGGAAUGCGUGGUGUAGCGGUGAAAUGCAUAGAUAUCACGAAGAACUCCGAUUGCGAAGGCAGCAGACCGGCGCGCAACUGAC
rnacentral:rRNA from 1 species